CUAAUUUUGAUGCCGAUAAGCUGACUUGGGAAAGUCCCACUAAGGUUUUCAUCUAAAGAAAACCCUGCUUUAAUGUUACAAAAGAGAUACCCAUCUUCCAAACCAUCAGAAGAAAAUGAGUGCCUCCUCCAUCAUUUGUUGUCUGAUUCACAGACCCGAGUACAACCAGAAAACUGGGAAACAAACCAACUCUUUCCACAGAAAAUGGUGCACUGUAAACUAGGCUGAACACUGAUCCAGUUUUCCUUUACCCAGACAGAAUCUGCUCCUGGAAUAGAACAUGUAUUACUUGUGAUAUCCACGCCUCUCAGCAUAAAUGUACCUCUGGCAGACCCAUGCCUUACUCCUUGCCAAAUGGAAUGCGUGGAAUUUGCCUCUGACCUGUUACAGCUAGACGAUGUAGAUUGUUGGGAACACCAAAGGGAACAACACUGUUGCCAUCUCAAAGAUGAUCUCCUACUGCGUAACCUACAGAAGAGAAAAGACACCACUUGGACUAUGGCUGGAGGCUAGACAGCAUCAGCAUUGGAUGGAGAACAGCUGGAGUCCAGUGGAUCUCAGCCAUAGAUGCUCAGGAAGCACCUGGAGAGAGACCUCGCAACCCCUGACCCCAGUGAUGCCACUCCCACCCCCUAGAGAAGACUUAACAAGAAGCAAGAGGCUUGGUGAAUGCUCCUUGAUACAGCCGUCAGCAGUCAGCCAAAAAAAUUCUACAGAGAGACCUAUCAGCUGUAAGGAGAUUCAAACGUCAAGGAGCAAGGAUAGAAGCUGGGAAAUCCAUCAGCAGACCAUUGCAAAAGUUCAGACAAAAAAAGAAUGGUGGAUGAGUUUAAGGUGGCACUAAUGGGGGUAAGGAAAAUCCAUGGGAAAUGUUGUCGCAUUGAUGAUAUUGCAAACAGAAUUUGCUGAUGAACUGAAUAUGUUAAGGAGAUGAGUCAAAGAGGAUGUCAAGGAUUUUGGCCGGACGUCUUUGAAGAAUGCAUUUGUUUCUUAUUGAGAUUCAGAAGUUUGAGGGAGAAGCAGCUAUGGAAGAAAUUAGGAGCUAAGGUUUGGAAAUAUUAAUUUUGAGUUACGUAAGUAUCCAAACAGAGAUGUGCAGCAGGCAGUUGGAUACAACAUUCAAAACUGGGGCCCAGAAGAGGAGUCAGAACUGGAGACAAGAUGUGUGAUUAGCAGGCUGUAGAUAGUGUUUAAAGCCAUUGGAUUAAAU
rnacentral:lncRNA from 1 species